rnacentral:rRNA from 1 species
GAACGCUGGCGGCGUGCUUAACACAUGCAAGUCGAACGAUGAAGCCCUUCGGGGUGGAUUAGUGGCGAACGGGUGAGUAACACGUGGGCAAUCUGCCCUGCACUCUGGGACAAGCCCUGGAAACGGGGUCUAAUACCGGAUACGACCAUCUUGGGCAUUCUUGAUGGUGGAAAGCUCCGGCGGUGCAGGAUGAGCCCGCGGCCUAUCAGCUUGUUGGUGAGGUAACGGCUCACCAAGGCGACGACGGGUAGCCGGCCUGAGAGGGCGACCGGCCACACUGGGACUGAGACACGGCCCAGACUCCUACGGGAGGCAGCAGUGGGGAAUAUUGCACAAUGGGCGAAAGCCUGAUGCAGCGACGCCGCGUGAGGGAUGACGGCCUUCGGGUUGUAAACCUCUUUCAGCAGGGAAGAAGCGAAAGUGACGGUACCUGCAGAAGAAGCGCCGGCUAACUACGUGCCAGCAGCCGCGGUAAUACGUAGGGCGCAAGCGUUGUCCGGAAUUAUUGGGCGUAAAGAGCUCGUAGGCGG